CUCCGCGUCACGCUGCGCGGAGCCCUUUUCCACUGUAACAAGGGGUCUGCCCGUG
rfam:Pantoea gaviniae strain LMG 25382 Contig0013_, whole genome shotgun sequence.